UCUCAGUCCAUGUAGAGUCUUAUCACAGGGGUCCUCUUUGGGUGGAGCAGGGUCAUCCGUUGCUGAAGAAUCCUCUAAAAGUGAAGGUCCAACUGGUGCAGGGGGGUACACAUAAAACUGGUUU